rnacentral:rRNA from 1 species
AUUGAACGCUGGCGGCAGGCUUAACACAUGCAAGUCGAGCGAGCGGCGGACGGGUGAGUACUGUCUGGGAAACUGCCUGAUGGAGGGGGCUAACUACUGGAAACGGUAGCUAAUACCGCAUACCCUCAGAUGUGCCCACAUGGGAUUAGCUAGUAGGUGGGGUAAUGGCUCACCUAGGCGACGAUCCCUAGCUGGUCUGAGAGGCUGGCCAGCCACACUGGAACUGGAACAGGGUCCAGACGCCUACGGGAGGCAGCGGUGGGGAAUAUUGGACAAUGGGCGCAAGCCUGAUGCAGCCAUGCCGCGUGUGUGAAGAAGGCCUUCGGGUUGUAAAGCACUUUCAGCGGGGAGGCGGUACUCGCAGAAGAAGCACCGGCUAACUCCGUGCCAGCAGCCGCGGUAAUAC